rnacentral:lncRNA from 1 species
AGGAUAAGCGACGUUGGGGCAGGUCCUGGGGAGAGUCCAGGUUGGCGGUUCCUGGGGCGGGGCCAGGAUAGGGCGAUCCUGGAAGCUGGGCUUCGGAAGCGUGCAGCUGUUGUUCCACACCAGAACCAAAUGAGCGCAAGAUCUGACAAAAAAAAAAGUCCCUGUAUCCUGAGAUGGAGUCACCUGAGAAUCCACAGCAAGUCCUAACCAGGGAUGGGUCUGGGUGAUUAAGGAAGAUUGGCUUCAGAACUGGGCCAGGGGCACUGCUUUGCUUUUGCUGUUUUGAUCAGCUCUCUGCCUGCAGGAGACGAGGAAAACCAAUGGGAACAGGUUAGUUAUACUCAUAAAUCCUGGGCUUAUUUUAUUAACUCACAUAAUAGCUAUUAAUUGUCUUUCCUCCAAGGAGCAAAAGGGCAUAUACGGUCAAUGUCAUAGUAAGUAACACUGUAUUAUGUUACACUAAAAUAUUAAUCUAGGUUGGUUCAGUCUUUCUUGAGUCCACAGAUUGGAAGCAGAUUGAGGAAGGACGCUAGCAGACCAUAGAGCUGAGCCAUGCACACAGAAGAAAUCUUUUUUUCUUUUUUUCUGGAGACGGAGUUUUGCUCUCUAGUUGCCCAGGCUGGAGUGCAAUGGUGCGAUCUCGGCUCACUGCAACCUCCACCUCCCAGGUUCAAGCGAUUCUCCUGCCUCAGCCUCCCGAGUAGCUGGGAUUACAGGCGUGAGCCACCCUGCCGGGCCACUUUUGUAUUUUUGGUAGAGACAGGGUUUGAACACCUUGGCCAGGCUGGUCUCAAAUUCCUGACUUCAGGUUAUCCACCCGCCUCUGCCUCCCAAAGUGCUGGGAUUACAGGCAUGACCCACCGCGCCUGGCCAGAAGAAAUCUUUAUCUUGGUGCGCAGUGUCUGGUGAUGGACAAAUGUCAUCUCUCUUGGAUCUGAAUCUGGAAGGAUCAAGGCACUGAAGGGAUUUUUUUUGUUUCAGAGAGUCUCCCUCUGUUGCCAGGCUGGAGUGCAGCGGCACGACCUCGGCUCACGGCAACCUCUGCCUCCCGGGCUCCAGCGAUUCUCCUGCCUCAGCAUCUCGAGUAGCUGGGACUACAGGCACACAUCACCACGCCCAGCUAAUUUUUGUAUUUUUAGUAGAGACAGGGUGUUACCAUGUUGGCCAGGAUGGUCUCAAUCUCUUGACAUCAUGAUCCACCUACCUUGGCCUCCCAAAGCGCUAGGAUUACAGGCGUGAGCCACCACGCCCAGCCUCACUAAAGGGAUUUUUUUAAUAUCACGUGGCUCUCACAGGUGCGGUGUGUUCGGGUGCAAGUGAAGAUUAUGACUGAUGCUUAAAACCAAACGUAAAAUUCCAGGUGGUGUUGCUAUGGGGAGCAGCAUUAGGACAAUCUGAGUGGCUUCAGUUGCAAGAGUGUGCGUGUACGUGCAAGAACUACAGUCAAGAUUCAACUUCUGGUUUGAAGAUCUCUUUCAUAACAGUAAUAACAACCUAAGGCAGUUUAACAAUAUGGAAUGGUUGCCUUUUAGAAGUUAACUUAUGGGCAUGGAAGUUCAAUCAGUACAUUGAAGUUUUUCCUUUAUCUCUCCUAUGGUUAAUGGUUUCUGCAGAAAAGGACCAAUUGAUUUCUUUCUAAAACGUUGCUUCAGGGUGUAGAGACCUUUAUAGGUCAUGUUUUAAUUUACAGAAAAUUUUUAUAGUUUAAAUAUAAAUUACGUUCAAUGUGGGCUUUGUAAUACAAUUUAAGGUUAAGUAAAGUUUCCACUUUCCUUAGGCUGUUUGCAGUGCCCAGCAGGCCCCAUGAUAUCGAGAUGGAAGUUAUGUUAAAGGAGGAGGUUGGUCAGGGAUGGGCAGAAUAAGGAAUAUGCGCAGCUCAGGCUAAUGAUGCAAUGAUUGAGGUGUAGAAAGAGGGCCAAGCAUGGGAUAACGCCUGUAAUCCCAGUGCCUUGGGAGGCCAAGGCAAGAGAAUCUCUUGAGGUCAGACCAGCCUGGUCAACAGAGUGAGACCUAACCUGUACAAAAAAAAAACACACAAAAAAACAAAAAAAAUUAGUUGGGCAUGAUGGUGUGCACCUGUAGUCUCAGCCACUUGGAAGGCUGAGGUCAGGGGAUCCCUUGAGCCCAGGAGUUUGAGGCUGCAGUGAGCUAUAAUCACAUAACUGUACUCCAGCCUGGAUGACAGGGUGAGGCGCUGACUCAAAAAAAAAAAAAAAAAAAUGAGUCAGGGAAAAAAUUGGAAAUCUUAAUCCUCGGUACCCAGGAAUGUGACCUUAUUUGGAAAUAGGGUCUUUCUAGAUGUAAUCAAGUAACGAUGAGUCAUCCUGGAUUGGGGGCUGCUGGUGAGGGGGCAGAUGCAAUGACUGGUGUCCUUAUAAAAGAAGAGAAUGAAGGCCGUGCAUGGUGGCUCAUGCCUGGAGUCUCAGCACACUUUGGGAGGGUGAGGUGGGGGGAAUCACUUGAAGUCAGGAGUUCGAGACCAGCCUGGCCAAUAAUAACAAUAAAAAAGCCAUUUUAGAUUCCAAUCCACUGAAAGAAAACUGUCCCUUAGUUAAUGUCGUGCUUAUUGGAUCCAUGAAGUCUUUGAAAAUUUAAACUACAAGGACACUGCCCUCUGUGGUGGUGGAGAGAAUACCAAGGACUUAAAGGUCUUUAAGAAAGAGAAUGUAGAAAAUGUACCCAUUGGAAACAGCAAAAUGAUGAUAAUCGUACUGACAGUAAUAAUAAGCUCAAAUAUAUAGAGCUUACUGUGUAUCAUGAAUUGUUCUGAAUGCUUUAUAAAUAUAUGUUACCCCCUUUACCCUCAUGGCAGCCCAGUAAAGGCGCCAUUCCCCAUUUUACAGCUGGGGAAACUGAGUUACAGAGCUUUUCUGCACUGAGUCAUCAGGAGCAAAUGCUAGAUCAGGUAAUUGAACCCAAGCAAUCUGGUUCCAGAGCCAAAUAGAUGUAUGUUUUAUGGUAUACAAACAUAUACAUACAUUUUUAGGGGAAGGGUGGGGGUAGGAUGGGAUGAGGAUUAUGAGUAAUUGCUUGGUAAAUGCCAAAUACCUUUCUUGUCUGUCCCUCUUUUCAAAUGAUAAAGUAAUGUCAAUUGCACACUUUUUUUUUUUUUUUUUUGAGACAAGGUCUAGCUGGAGUACAGUGAUGCAGUCAUAGCCCACUGCAGCCUCAGAUUCCUGGGCUCAAGCAAUCCACCCACAUCAGUUUCCCAAGUAGUUGGGACUACAGGC